rnacentral:rRNA from 1 species
UACGGAGGAUGCGAGCGUUAUCCGGAUUUAUUGGGUUUAAAGGGUGCGUAGGCGGUCCGUUAAGUCAGCGGUAAAAUUGCGGGGCUCAACCCCGUCGAGCCGUUGAAACUGGCAGACUUGAGUUGGCGAGAAGUACGCGGAAUGCGCGGUGUAGCGGUGGAAUGCGUAGAUAUAUGGAAGAACACCAGUGGCGAAGGCGGCUCUCUGGUCUGCAACUGACGCUGAGGCUCGAAAGCAUGGGUAGCGAACAGG